rnacentral:ncRNA from 1 species
UUCAUCGCGAGGUGAAAUCUGAAGGAAGCCGGAUGCAAAAUGCUGGCCUGACGAACAGGAAGCGGUUAAGGCGGCGCAGCGGGUAAGGUGGCAUACAUCACCAAAGCCCGAUACUCACACGGAACGCUGUGACGUAGAGCCGACAGGCAUAAGCAGGAAAGUCGCGCGA